rnacentral:rRNA from 1 species
UGGGGAAUUGUUCGCAAUGGGCGCAAGUCUGACGACGCAACGCCGCGUGGAGGAUGAAGAUCUUCGGGUCGUAAACUCCUGUCGAGCGGGAAGAAUACCUACCUGGCGAACAUCCGGGUAGGCUGACGGUACCGCUAAAGGAAGCCCCGGCUAACUCCGUGCCAGCAGCCGCGGUAAUACGGGGGGGGCAAGCGUUGUUCGGAAUUACUGGGCGUAAAGGGCUCGUAGGCGGCCAACUAAGUCGGACGUGAAAUCCCCAGGCUCAACCUGGGAACUGCGUCUGAUACUGGAUGGCUUGAAUCCGGGAGAGGGAUGCAGAAUUCCAGGUGUAGCGGUGAAAUGCGUAGAUAUCUGGAGGAAUACCGGUGGCGAAGGCGGCAUCCUGGACCGGCAUUGACGCUGAGGAGCGAAAGCCAGGGGAGCAAACGG